AUUGAACGCUGGCGGCAGGCCUAACACAUGCAAGUCGAGCGAGCGGCGGACGGGUGAGUAAUGUAUGGGGACUGCCCGAUAGAGGGGGAUAACUACUGGAAACGGUCGCUAAUAACGCAUACUAUCGGAUAACCCAUAUGGGAUUAGCUAGUAGGUGAGUUAAUGGCUCACCUAGGCGACGAUCCAUAGCGGUGCUGAGAGGAUGAUCAGCAACACUGGGACUGAGACACGGCCCAGACUCUCUGGGAGGCAGCAGGGGGGAAUAUUGCAAAAGGGGCGAAAGCCUGAUGCAGCCAUGCCGCGUGUAUGAAGAAGGCCCUAGGGUUGUAAAGUACUUUCAGUCGGGAGGCGUUACCGACAGAAGAAGCACCGGCUAACUCCGUGCCAGCAGCCGCGGUAAUUC
rnacentral:rRNA from 1 species